GUCCAAGGAUGGGAAUCGAACCCAUAGUUUUCCGCUUACCGGGCAGAUUCCAUGUCCACUAAGCUACCCUGGA
rnacentral:tRNA from 1 species